rnacentral:rRNA from 1 species
CCUACGGGAGACAGCAGUGGGGAAUAUUGCACAAUGGGGGAAACCCUGAUGCAGCAACGCCGCGUGAGUGAAGAAGUAUUUCGGUAUGUAAAGCUCUAUCAGCAGGGAAGAAAAUGACAGUAUCUGACUAAGAAGCCCCGGCUAACUACGUGCCAGCAGCCGCGGUAAUAUGUAGGGGGCAAGCGUUGUCCGGAUUUACUGGGUGUAAAGGGAGCGUAGACGGCGGCGCAAGUCAGAAGUGAAAGCCCGGGGCUCAACCGCGGGACUGCAUUUGAAACUGUGUAGCUUGAGUGCAGGAGAGGUAGGUGGAAUUCCUAGUGUAGCGGUGAAAUGCGUAGAUAUAAGGAGGAACACCAGUGGCGAAGGCGGCUUGCUGGACUGUAACUGACGUUGAGGCUCGAAAGCGUGGGGAGCAAACAGGAUUAGAUACCCUAGUAGUC